ACUUUGAUAGAGUAAAUAAUAGAGGUUUAAAUCCUCUUAUUUCUA
rnacentral:tRNA from 1 species